rnacentral:rRNA from 1 species
UGCGUAGGUGGCGCCGUAAGUCGGGUGUGAAAUUUCGGAGCUUAACUCCGAAACUGCAUUCGAUACUGCGGUGCUUGAGGACUGGAGAGGAGACUGGAUUUCAUGGUGUAGCAGUGAAAUGCGUAGAGAUCAUGAGGAAGACCAGUGGCGAAGGCGGGUCUCUGGACAGUUCCUGACACUGAGGCACGAAGGCCAGGGGAGCAAACG